rnacentral:rRNA from 1 species
GAUGAACGCUGGCGGCGUGCUUAACACAUGCCAGUCGAACGGUGAAGGCGGAGCUUGCUCUGCUGGAUCAGUGGCGAACGGGUGAGUAACACGUGAGCAAUCUGCCCCUGACUCUGGGAUAAGCGCUGGAAACGGCGUCUAAUACUGGAUACGAGCUGCGAAGGCAUCUUCAGCAGCUGGAAAGAACUUCGGUCAGGGAUGAGCUCGCGGCCUAUCAGCUUGUUGGUGAGGUAACGGCUCACCAAGGCGUCGACGGGUAGCCGGCCUGAGAGGGUGACCGACCACACUGGGACUGAGACACGGCCCAGACUCCUACGGGAGGCAGCAGUGGGGAAUAUUGCACAAUGGGCGAAAGCCUGAUGCAGCAACGCCGCGUGAGGGACGACGGCCUUCGGGUUGUAAACCUCUUUUAGCAGGGAAGAAGCGAAAGUGACGGUACCUGCAGAAAAAGCGCCGGCUAACUACGUG